CUUUCCAAAACCUUAACCCAAAGAAUAUUAAUAAUAACAUUUCCGCUUAUUAUCAGACUCGUGCAGCCCACCAUGGCGUCGUCACUAGCGACUGGCUCGCCCAGGCGUAGGCAGCUGUCGCGGUUGGCCGCCAUUCUGAUGAUUUAUUGCCGUCGGAACCUGAACUCAGAGUCGCUGGAAAGCCGUUUAGUGUGAUCGAUUAGUUUAAUAACUGGAGGGAGCAACCGAACUUAGCGGAGGCUGUUGCGGCGAUUAGGGCUCUUACGGCUGUGAUUAGGAAUAGUGAGGCGACGACGACGACGGGGCUUGAAAUCGAGCUCUGGGAGGCGUCGGAUUCGCUCAAGCGGGCUGUGAUGUUUAUGUGGUAUGUAACCAAAACUUCGGCCUUGAAAUAUGAGGACUUCAAUUCUGCUAAAUCUCGCUUGAUUGACUGUGCAGAGAAGUUUGGAGGGAUAUCUUAUAAGGCACGCAGAACCAUUGCAAUGCUUAGUCAAGAUUUCAUUUUUGAUGGCUGUGCAAUUUUGGUGCAUGGUUUCUCCAGACUUGUGUUGG